rnacentral:rRNA from 1 species
UACGUAGGGUGCAAGCGUUGUCCGGAAUUAUUGGGCGUAAAGAGCUCGUAGGCGGUUCGUCGCGUCGGCUGUGAAAUCCCGAGGCUCAACCUCGGGUCUGCAGUCGAUACGGGCGGACUGGAGUUCGGCAGGGGAGACUGGAAUUCCUGGUGUAGCGGUGAAAUGCGCAGAUAUCUGAAGGAACACCAGUGGCGAAAGCGGCUUCCUGGUCCAGUACCGACGUUCAGGCACGAAAGCGUGGGGAGCAAACAGG